rnacentral:rRNA from 1 species
UAUUAUUUUUGAAUGUUAAUAUUUAUUUGCCUGAGUAGUAUUAGUUAUGUUCUUGAAACUUAAAGAAUUUGGCGGUAUCUCAUUCCGUUCAGAGGAAUCUGUCUCGUUAUCGAUAGUCCACGUUGGACCUUACUUGGUUUAUUAUUAAGGUUUGUAUACCGCCGUUUAUUGAUUAUCUUUUUAGAGUUUAUUUAAUUUUCUUGUUUCUUUAUUUUGAUUUAUUUCAGGUCAAGGUGCAGCUUGUUUCUAAGUGAAUGAUGGAUUACAUUAAUAUUUGUUUUUGGAUUGUUUUGGUUUAAAAUACUGACAUGAAAUUGGAUUUGGUUGUAAUAAUUUGUAGACUGUUAUUAUGAUAAAUGGUUCUGGGAUAUGUACACAUCGCCCGUCGCUCUCGUUCAAAUUAUUGUUAAUGAG